rnacentral:ncRNA from 1 species
CUACCGUGGAAUUUGAGCCGACCGGCUUGCGGCCACGUUAAUCCCCGCUAAAAGGUCGGAGC